AGAGUUUGAUCCUGGCUCAGGAUGAACGCUGGCGGUAUGCUUAACACAUGCAAGUCGAACGGGAGAAACUCCUUCGGGAGUCGAUCCAGUGGCGGACGGGUGAGUAACGCGUGAGAAUCUGCCUUCAGGAUGGGGACAACAGUUGGAAACGACUGCUAAUCCCCAAUAAGCCGAAAGGUCAAAAGGGAUUCCGCCUGAAGAGGAGCUCGCGUCUGAUUAGCUAGUUGGUGGGGUAAAAGCCUACCAAGGCGACGAUCAGUAGCUGGUCUGAGAGGAUGAGCAGCCACACUGGGACUGAGACACGGCCCAGACUCCUACGGGAGGCAGCAGUGGGGAAUUUUCCGCAAUGGGCGAAAGCCUGACGGAGCAAUACCGCGUGAGGGAGGAAGGCUCUUGGGUUGUAAACCUCUUUUCUUAAGGAAGAAGUUCUGACGGUACUUAAGGAAGAAGCAUCGGCUAACUCCGUGCCAGCAGCCGCGGUAAUACGGAGGAUGCAAGCGUUAUCCGGAAUUAUUGGGCGUAAAGGGUCCGCAGGUGGUCUAGCAAGUCUGCUGUCAAAGAGCGGAGCUUAACUCCGGGUCGGCAGUGGAAACUGCGAGACUAGAGUUCGGUAGGGGUAGAGGGAAUUCCCAGUGUAGCGGUGAAAUGCGUAGAUAUAUGGGAAGAACAYCAGUGGCGAAAGCGCUCUACUGGGCCCGAAACUGACACUGAGGGACGAAAGCUAGGGUAGCGAAAGGGAUUAGAUACCCCUGUAGUCUUAGCUGUAAACGAUGGAAAACUAGGCGUAGCUUGUAUCGACCCGAGCUGUGCCGAAGCUAACGCGUUAAGUUUCCCGCCUGGGGAGUACGCACGCAAGUGUGAAACUCAAAGGAAUUGACGGGGGCCCGCACAAGCGGUGGAGUAUGUGGUUUAAUUCGAUGCAACGCGAAGAACCUUACCAGGGCUUGACAUCUGGCGAACUCUGGUGAAAGCCAGGGGUGCCUUCGGGAACGCCAAGACAGGUGGUGCAUGGCUGUCGUCAGCUCGUGUCGUGAGAUGUUGGGUUAAGUCCCGCAACGAGCGCAACCCUCGUCCUUAGUUGCCAUCAUUAAGUUGGGAACUCUAGGGAGACCGCCGGGGAGAACUCGGAGGAAGGUGGGGAUGACGUCAAGUCAGCAUGCCCCUUACGUCCUGGGCUACACACGUACUACAAUGGUUGGGACAAAGGGCAGCGAGCGAGCGAUCGUAAGCGAAUCUCAGCAAACCCAGCCUCAGUUCAGAUUGCAGGCUGCAACUCGCCUGCAUGAAGGAGGAAUCGCUAGUAAUCGCAGGUCAGCAUACUGCGGUGAAUCCGUUCCCGGGCCUUGUACACACCGCCCGUCACACCAUGGAAGCUGGCCACGCCCGAAGUCGUUACCCUAACCCGUAUGGGAGGGGGAUGCCGAAGGCAGGGCUAGUGACUGGGGUGAAGUCGUAACAAGGUAGCCGUACCGGAAGGUGUGGCUGGAACACCUCCUUA
rnacentral:rRNA from 1 species